rnacentral:rRNA from 1 species
CCUACGGGUGGCUGCAGUGGGGAAUAUUGCACAAUGGGGGAAACCCUGAUGCAGCGACGCCGCGUGAGUGAAGAAGUAAUUCGUUAUGUAAAGCUCUAUCAGCAGGGAAGAAAAUGACGGUACCUGAGUAAGAAGCCCCGGCUAACUACGUGCCAGCAGCCGCGGUAAUACGUAGGGGGCAAGCGUUAUCCGGAUUUACUGGGUGUAAAGGGAGCGUAGACGGCAGUGCAAGUCUGGAGUGAAAGGCGGGGGCACAACCCCCGGAGGGCUCAGAAAACUGUACGGCUGGAGUGCAGGAGAGUGAGGUGAAAUUCCUGGGGGAGCGGGGAAAGGCGGAGAU